GCUGCCAUAAAAAAGAAGAAUCAUGGUCAAAGCUAAGUCAUGGGUAAUGACUAAGCACUUUGACGGCUUCCCAAAGAAAAGCGACUUUGGGCUGAAGGUGGAGGAGCUCCCUGAGCCCAAAGAUGGAGAGGUGCUGUUGGAAGCUGUGUUUCUCAGUGUCGACCCGUACAUGAGGCCCUUCAGCAAAACCCACAUGAAGGAGGGAGAUGUGAUGAUCGGAGGUCAGGUGGCCAA